CCGCACGCGGUGUACAAUGAUUGGGUCAACGAGUUGUGAAUGCUUGUUCGAGAGAACCGGCUAAUCUUGUUAAACCCAAUCGUGCUGGGGAUAGAUGCUUGUAAUUAUUCAUCUUGAACCAGGAAUGCCUAGUAAGCGCAUGUCAUCAACGUGCGCUGACUGAGU
rnacentral:rRNA from 1 species